rnacentral:rRNA from 1 species
UACGUAGGCAGCGAGCGUUGUUCGGAGUUACUGGGCGUAAAGGGUGCGUAGGUGGGCUGGUAAGUCAGUGGUGAAAUCUCCAGGCUUAACUUGGAAACUGCCAUUGAUACUAUCAGUCUUGAAUACCGUGGAGGUCAGCGGAAUAUGUCAUGUAGCGGUGAAAUGCUUAGAUAUGACAUAGAACACCAAUUGCGAAGGCAGCUGGCUACACGAAUAUUGACACUGAUGCACGAAAGCGUGGGGAUCAAACAGG